AGUAGAGGAGUAUUCCAGGGA
rnacentral:misc_RNA from 1 species